rnacentral:rRNA from 1 species
AUUGAACGCUGGCGGCACGCCUAACACAUGCAAGUCGAACGAGUGGCGGACGGGUGAGUAAUGUCUGGGAAACUGCCUGAUGGAGGGGGAUAACUACUGGAAACGGUAGCUAAUACCGCAUACUCUCGGAUGUGCCCAGAUGGGAUUAGCUAGUAGGGGGGGUAAAGGCUCACCUAGGCGACGAUCCCUAGCUGGUCUGAGAGGAUGACCAGCCACACUGGAACUGAGGCACGGUCCAGAGUCCUACGGGGGGCAGCAGUGGGGAAUAUUGCACAAUGGGCGCAAGCCUGAUGCAGCCAUGGCGCGGGUGUGAAGAAGGCCUUCGGGUUGUAAAGUACUUUCAGCGGGGAGGCGUUACCCGCAGAAGAAGCACCGGCUAACUCCGUGCCAGCAGCCGCGGUAAUAC